CAACUCUAUGCGGUGGAUCACUCGGCUCGUGCGUCGAUGAAGAGCGCAGCCAGCUGCGUGAAUUAAUGUGAUUUGCAGGACACACUGGACAUCGACAACCUUGAACGCACAUUGCGGCUCUGGCUCACUGCCAGAGCCACCGCUUGUCCGAGGGUCGGCG
rnacentral:rRNA from 1 species